rnacentral:lncRNA from 1 species
UGUGACAAGUAUCAGUAAUGCAGGAAGACGCAGAGGUAGAGCAAGAAGAGUAGUGAAAAGAGAGACCUAAAUAAGGAGCAAAUUAUUGGCAUGGGAAAAAUUCCGAUACAAUUUCCUGGUCUGAACACUUCUGUGUUUAGAGGAAAAGAAUUAAUUCAACAGCUAAAACUGCUUGUAAAUCUUGAAAGAAAGCAAAAACUUAUGGAAUUACCACAAAGUCAGACCAGACCAAUGCAAAUAAAAUUAUCGCCAUUGGAAUGUGUUGGAGGAGUGUUACAAUGGAUGGCAGAAGCAUUGAAUCAGAUCUUAUUGGAAAAGAUACAUUUGAAAGUUUUGAAACCUGGAUUUUGGAAAACAAAAUGAUAACUUGUAUGACCAGUAAUUUAGCAUAUAAGACUAGAAUCAAUUCAUUUAUAGUAACUGGGAAUGGAAAAGGAUUGGCUGGAUUUGUGUUAUCAAAAGCCAAAGCAUCCCUAAACGAUUAAAAAUAGAGUUGGUCAAAGAUUAAUGUAUAUUCCUACAUAUAAGGAACACACUGUGUUACAUGAUUUCUUUACACAGUUUGAGAAUAUAAAAAUAUUUGUAAAGAAAAUUCAUGAAGGAUAAUGGGCUUGUUUGUCAUCAUGCGAUAAAAGCAUGUUAUGAGAUAAUUGGCAUAAAGGAUAUGUAUGCCAAAGUACAAGGAGGAAUGUAAAAGCAUUCUUUAUUGAUUUUUGCAAUAAGUGUGAAUAUAAAGUAUUUA